AGAUUUGAAGGGAGGAGUGAAGAAAUAGCCAUUGUGCACCUCACACGUGCUAGGGCUAAUCUCCUGACAGACCUCAUUGGCUCCAAACAGGUGUCUUUCGUUGCUGCUCGGCCUCUCCCACGCAUCCAGUGUGAGAGCCCUGCAGCUGCCCACCCACCGCCCGAGCCCAUUCCAAACAUUCUAGCUAAAAUCGCUUGCAUUCUUAGCUGACAGCUAAAUAAACGAACCCCAUUCCUGUCGGUGACCUCCCUCCCAUCCCAGGUAAAAUACCAGCAGUUUCUCAGGGGCUUUGAGAGACGGGGCUCACACCAAGGAUGGGAGCAGGGCUGGGAGGCACCAGACCAGGCUGGGAGGGGAGGUGUGUUUGCGGUGGGGAGGGGUGUUCCCCUCCAAACCACACCGGAACUGGGGUUUUACACUCCAUGUGGAUUCGCAAGCAAGGUGACUAUUUAUGAGAGACAAUAAAUGCUUCCCAGAAGGCCCCACUGUUUAAAUUCUUUUCCAGUUUAGGGACUUGUGGGAAUGGGGAGCAAUUCGGACAAGGAAGCCUCUCCCCACUUCCUGCCCUUCUACCCUCUGCUCCAUCUGCGCCCUCCUCCCCCUUCUUCCCACCCCUCCCCCUUUCAUCCUGCCGUGUUCUCCAUCUAUCUUGCCAAAACAAAACAAAACAAAACAAAAAAAUGAACAAAGGAGUAUGAGCUACCCUAGGACAGCCUGACACAGAAAAGAUGUCUUUUCAAAAUCUCAGAAUGUCAGGAUGAACUCAUUAAGGAAGAAGAGAACGAUGGGCCAUGUCAGCUGUUCCACAGUCAGUCUCUGUGGAAAAAACGCUGAACACUUGACUCAUCCACUGAUGAUUUGGGACAGUGAACCAGAGGAGGAAGAAGAGAGAAAGAAGAAAGGAAUAAACAAGUGGUUUCUUUUCGUCCGUAGGUUUCUGAUUCAGGUGCCAAAGCUCAUGAAUCUUGGGAUGGAGUCAGCUGCAGUCGCGGGUGAGGCUCUGAAUGAAGAGAAAAAGCAGACUUGGCCUCAUCACAUUCCUGCUCUAAUGGAUGCUGAGAAGUGGACGCUGCACAGCCUCCCCCGAGUUUCCUGGUACUGCCGCUAUCAUUGCAAAAUCCUGGCUUCUUCAAAGGAUCAUCUCUUGCCGCUGCCAGAGAAAGCGAAUCCAAGGUCACUUACUUCCACCUAAAGAGAAUAGUUUGUCAGCUGCCAAAAUUCAUUUUUCUAAUGUGCUCUUACCCAAUGCCUUGAGCCUGGCGAGCUGGGCGGAGUCCAGCCCGGCUAAUUCCAUCUUCCCAACCAGAUUCCCCUGAGGAGUUUGAAAUGGACACGAUCGGAUCCUUCCCCUCCUCCGCGCGCCUCUUUAUCAAUCAAACUAAUGCUUUUUCAUUUCCAAAGCAUGAUGGGAAUAUGGGCCGGAACGUCUAAAACAGGAUUCUUCUGAAGACUUGCGUGAGGAGAGCUUCCCUUGUAUGAAUUCGGUCAAGUUCUUGGGAAUCAAGUCUGGCUUCAUUUAUGCAACAGUCACUGAAGUCCAUGCCGGGGGCUGCUCUCAACAUGGCAGGUGCAGCAGGGCACAGGAAGGGGUUUCUCCCCUCAGGAAGGAAAUGUCAGAAUAGGUAUUUGAGAUGAGGUUGGAGUGAGAGACAAGAAUCAAACCAUUUAAACAUGCUCUGGAGUUUGGAUAGUAUCAUAGGGACAGUUGGUGGAGCGAUGUGAUCAGAUGUGGGGGUUUAAUGAGAUCUCACCGUGAUCAGAUGUGGGGUUUAAUAAGAUCGCACCGUGAGGGAGAGGAGCUAUUACACAGGACACCUGUGGGCCAGGGUCCUCGUCUCUCUUUUCCACUGGAAUUGAAGUCUUUGGGGAUCAACACAACAGGAGCCAUAGUCUCCUCUCUCCGGCCUUCAGAUAGCAUUGAACCUGGGUUAGCUCAAAGGAUCAAGGAGGCUAAGCCAUGGUUUGGCCGCGUGGGCCGUCAGCAUCGACUCUUCCGUGACAAAUGUUGCUUCUCUCUUUCUCUCCAUGUCUGGCUCCACUUCCCAGGCUGCCUGUGGCCCUGGGGACACCAGACAAAAGAAGGUAAGUGCAGAAGCAUCAGCGCCUCGGCGCUGUUCCAAGAGCUGGCCUUGCUCUGCUGAAGCAGGUUCAGGGACAAAGUCAAGGAGAAGAAGCCCCUAACCGUCUGUGCGGGUGGUGGAACGUGACGUUCUUGGAAGACCACUACCAUCGAAAAGAAUCAUUUAAACCUCUGUUGACUGCCCACCCUGUGAACAAUGAUAAAUCUAAAUGAGAAAGUCAUAGAAUUGGGGGCCAUUAAAGGGGGCAUUAGUCGUGGACUCCAACCUCCCACCCACUGUAGAGCCUUCGGCAGCAGCCCCGAGGGGGCGUCCUGCAGGGUUCCACAUCCCUCCUCUGUCAGAUGGGGGCCCGAGGCGUGGCAAUGUCCCUCCUCAUUGUUCUUCUGGCCGGGGAGGGUCAUUGAUGGGGGUACCUACGGCCCGGAGUCACGGUCUGAAGGGCCAAAGGGCAGGUGAGAAAGUCACACUGUGAAGAGGGGCCGUGGUCACAAUCUGAAAACACCAAAUAAAACUGCUCACGGGAGCAAGAGGAAGAAGGACGCAGAGCCACACAGGAGAUACGCGGGAUGCGAUGGAGGUGGGAGAAAGAGGAGGUGGGCUGGGGUGAGCUGGUCCGGAGAAAUUCCCACGUGUGUUUGGGGCAGUUCUCAUGAUGGAAUUUUCCCUUUGUUUUUUUUUUUUUUAGAGCCACACCCUCGGCAUAUGGAGGUUCCCAGGCUAGGGAUCAAAUCAGAGCUGCAGCUACUGGCUGAGGCCACAGCCACAGCAAUGCCAGAUCCAAACUCUGCCUGCGAUCUACACCACAGCUCGUGGCAACACCGGAUCACCAACCCCCUGAGGGAAGCCAGGGCUCGAACCCACAUCCUCAUGGAUACAGUCAGGCUCGUUUCUGCUGCGCCACACAACAGGAACUCCCUCUCAUGAUGGAAUGCUCAAUACGAUGCUCACACAAAUAUUUGUGAUUGUGUCAAGUACUUUCAGAAGGACUGGCAGGACAUCUGCGUCCUACUUCUGCUAAUGGUCACUGCCUCACUUGGAAGCCCAUUUCGUCAGUGGGAAGGGCUACUCAUCAGAACAGUCUCUGUAUCCGCUGCCUUCUGGCCAUAGGUCUGUUCUCGCAGGACCCGCGAGCGCACCUAGUCCGUUUCUUCAUGAUAGUCCUUCACAUAACAGCAGCCCCCGCGACCCCUUCCAACUUCCUGCCCCAGAUUCUUUCAGCUGUUCUAGGAGGACACCAUUCCAGAAAGUGCCAAACUGCCAAGUUGAAGAGGACUUCGGAAACUCCGAUCCGGCUCUCCUCCUUGACCCAGGAAGAAGGCGAGGCUCAGAGAAGUGAAAUGCAGCUGGUGGGGAGUGGGUUUUUCCCAGUAUCAUCCGACGUGGUAGAACUUGACCCCAGAUCUCCCAAGUCCACGUUCAGUGCUUUCCCCGUAUUUUUGACAUCCCAUUUGCCUUCCUCUAACCUCGUUCCAGCUUCUUAGAUGUCCUCUUCAAAUGUAGCGCCUGAAGCUGAAUGCCGCCUGCAGAUGUGGUCCAGCAGCCAAGAGAAUGAGGAAUUGUGCGGCUCUUUAUUCUAAAUUCUGCCCCUCCGUUAAUGCUGCUAGGAUGACUUUAGAGUUCUUUGGCAGGUACUGAUGAUUCAUCUUGAGCACAUGGUUCAUUAAAACCAUUUGAAUUUUCUUUUGAACUUGAAAUGUGUCAAACCAGGUAUUUUCUACCUUGUACUAGAAUGGUUCUUUUUAAAUUUAAUCGAGGACUAGGAUUUUAUAUUGAACCGUCCACAAGAUCUUUGGGUUCGUUUGGGUGUACCCUUCUACUCGGUUGAGAUAUUUUUGCGUGUUAACUCUCCUCUCGGGCAUGUACCUAACCACUCGUGUGUAACAAGAUAUAAACUCAGUCACAUACUGUGGCAAAGACAAUUCUCACCGAAUGUGCCACAUACUCCCCUGCUUUUCCCAGCCUCUUGUGUAAUUGUUCCUAAGUCAACAGACUGUGAAUGAAGCUGGUGUCACUUAAGAGCCAGUCAUUUAAGGGCCAGUAUGAUUUGCUUUAUUCUUUCAUUCCCCUGAUGCAGAGACCUUGCCAGCCACACGUUCCAGACGACAUGACUGCAGGGGGAAUUUACAUGAAUUCUGCCGAGGUCUCUAUAUCCAGCUACAGAUUCAGUUUAUCACCUAAAGACACUAUAAAAGACAGAAUUAAAUGCCAUUUUCAAAUCCACACACCCUGAGUCCCAAGGACCACAGGAGUCCACUGCAGGUUGUUCAGCAUGGGUGUGACAGAAACAGAUUUGAACUUUAGCGGUGCAUCUGAUGGCGAGGGAACUGGAGGGAACUAAGACUGGAAGCAGGAAAACAGCUUUGAGGCCAGCUCGUUGUGGGCAUCUAGAAAGGGUGUUAUGAUUUUAGGAGUCGCUACCAGCUGACUAAAAGCAAAGUUCUAUCAUAAUCACUUCACUGCCCCCUUUUGCCCCUGCUGCUAGACCAGCGUAUCAAGGAAACGCCCACGCCCAGAGCCCUGAGCCUGGCUCUAGGUCCAUCCAUGUUGCUGCAAAUGGCAUUAUUUCAUGCUUUUGGUGGCUGUCUAAUAGUCCUUUGCUUAUGUGUCCACAUUUUCUUCAUCCAUUCUUCUGUGGAUGGACAUUUAGGUGGCUUCCCUGUCUUGGCCACGAAGCCUGCUCCCGCCCACUCCCCUUCGUCUGCCCGCUGGCCACUCGUACCUCUUUUGGUUUCCUUGGCUUUAAGAAUCUCUCCGACGCUGGCCUUUUGUACAAGCUCCUUCUUCUCUUUCAAAUACUUUCCUAUCCUGCGACCUUUUCCAGGCUAAACCCUCAAACCUUAAAUCUCAGUUUUUUUCAGGAAGGCCUCCCCUGAUCCCCUAAACCAAGUUAGAUCCCCUUUCAGCACGUUUGAUUCCUCGCAAUCUCUUCACACAAAAGCACAUUCUCUCUUUUCGAGGCCAACAAUUCCUUGAGGGCAAAACUCACGCCUGUGGUGCUUCUUCCCUGAGAACUUGGAACACAGUGAAGCAGGAGUUCAAACAACGUUCGCUGAAUAGGAUUCUCGCAUCAUUUGUUCUGAAAAUGUGUUAGAACUAAGUGGGAAGCCAGGUGGAUGGCAGAUUCUAGACUCUCCCCUUUUCGUCUUCAGCCACUCUCCAGGUUCUGGAUGUUCCCUCUCUCCUGGGGGGUCCUCAGAGAUGACCCACAGUGAUUCUUUUCGUUGUCUGGGGUCGUCAUUGCUUUGGGACCCCAGUCUACAAACUGCAGGCCAGCCCAAAGCUGCCUGUUUCUAGAAAUAAAGUCUCAUUAGAACACAGCCCCACCGCUUCAUUUCCAAAUUAUCAGUGGCUGUUUUCACACUACAGAAGCAGGUGAUUGCAACCAAGGCCGUACAGCCCACAAAGCCUAAAAUAUCACCUUUACGGAGGAGAACAUUGCCAACCCCUAGUUUAGGGCAGAUUUUUGAACCCACUUAAGACGGCGCUAUGAUUUCUCUCCGUCAACUCAUCUAUAUUUGGAUACGUCUCCUCUUCACCCAUCUUCGUCGUGCCUGUCUAAUUGGAAAUGUGUUCUUUCUAUUAAAGCGCCAAAUAGACGGCUGCCUACCGUCACCUGCUGACGUGUGUCUCCUGCCACGUGUCUCCUUCACAUUUGCUGGGUUUUAGACCAAACAUCAUUCAUUUAAACAAAAAUUAAUUUCUUGGGAUAGAACACGAUGGAAGGGAACAUGAGAAAAAGAAUGUGUAUAUACGUGUGACGGGGUCACUUUGCUGUACGGCAGAAAUUGGCGCAACAUUGUAAAUCCACUACACUUUAACAUAAAUAAAUAACAAAA
rnacentral:lncRNA from 1 species